UUUCAGACUAUGUAUUUCUCUAAAACAGAAUUCUCUACCUUUCCUCUCCCUUCUUUCUAGAUUUUCUCACUGAAGAUUCAUCAAAUCGGUGAUCAGAAGCUUCCUAGACGAUUCAGACGUCAAGAGCUUCCUAUCUAACCGAUCAAUUGUGUUUAGAACUGGUGUUCUUAGGAUUCUCUUGCGGUUCAAACAAAUUUGCUGAAUGUGUAGAAGCUGUUCGGUUCUGUUAAAGGAUAAGAUCUUCCUAAGGACUUAACAAGUUUGAAACCACCAUUGGCCAACCUAUGAGCCAGGCUAGAGCAGAGCAACCUAUGACUUGAAAAUUUUGCUGCUCGUGUAGCAUGGCCUGGGGGCCAGGCCCCUACUGAUGGGGGAGGUGGAGCAGUUGCGGAGUAUAAGCUACUGUGGGAGGAAGAUGUUGCAGAUGAAAGUGAAGCUAGUAUCCUACACUACUGGAGCUGCAAAGAGUCCAUUCUAAAUUCGGUUUUUCAGUUUUAAUUUUGAAGUUUUAUUUGCUUUCAGUAUUUGUGUUUUGGAUUUCUUUUUUACUUGCCUUGUGAAUAGUUCUUGUGUAAUUGGUCUGGUGAUUUGAGUGAAUCAUUUUCUAUGCUUGAAUUGAAUACAAAUCUGUUGUGCUUGCUCUUUAUCCAUGAGAAUUGUUUUGAAAAUCUAAUUGAGAUUAUGUGGUUGAGCCUGUUGAACAGAGAUUGUGGUUGCUUGUAUAUGUUUAGAUAGAUGCUUGGUUUUAAUUGUGAUCAAUAUUCUUGGCAUGAUGUUUAUCAAAUUUUGGAACCUUGAGUAAACAUGUGAGAUGUUGUGCCUCAGAGUUUAUUGUUGAAUGUUAUUACUUUGGAAUCACAGUUGAUUUUGCCUGAGUUUCUCUAUUUGAACUAGUUACUUGCAUGUUACAAAUGAUCAAGGCCAUCUUGUUCUUCCACCUCUUCUACAUUUUGAACCUAAAAGCCAAUGUAUAACCUUUGAACCUUAAAGAAAACUUUCUCAUUCCCGAAACCUUAAGCCUAUUGAAAAAUCCUUAACCUCCUUACCUUGAGUUGAGAUGAACAUAUAUGUUAGAGUGAGGAGAAUGGUCUAAGUUUGGGGGAGUUCUUGUCAAAAGGGGAGCAUUGAGAAAAACAAUAAGAUGAGUAAAAAGAAAGAAAAAGAAGAAAUAAGAAGAAAGACAAAAACAUGAAUUCAAUGAAAAAGAGUUGGGAAAUAGGUUGAGAAGUGGGUUAUUCAAUUUUGGAGAAAAAGAGAUACUAAGUUAUAUCAUGAAUUAAAUUGUUUGGUCUCUUAUCUCAAGGUGCUUUGUUGUCCAGAAAAACCAAUUUUUCUUCUUAGCCCAGCCACAAUACAAGCCAAUCAAAGUCCUUGUGAUGUAACUUGCUUGUAAAUGUGUUUGAAAUUGUUGAAACAAAAGGCAAAGUUGAUUUGUGUAACAUUGUGAUAUUUGAGAGUUAGACACACAUCCUUAUACACCAUUGUGCUUGAGUGAGACACUUUCCUUGGUGAGGAUUGGUUCCAUGCACUCAUUGAAAACAACUUGCCAUGUUUGUUGAUCUAUCAAUUGCAUCUAUCAUGUGACUUUGAACUUGUGAGCACCAUGAUUGAAGUUUAGCUUGCUAAGACUAUAUUGUCUCUUGAAUGUGAUUUAUAAGUUGAGCAAGCACGAUUGAUUUUGUUUAUUUGAUUGAAACUAUGCUUGAGUUGCUAGACCAUUGUGAUUGAAUUGUCUGCUAGGAGAAGUACUUUUGCUUGAGGACAAGCAAAAUUGUAAGUUUGGGGGUAUUUUGAUAAUGCUAAAUUAUACCAUAUUUUAAGCAUCAUUUUAGUAGCAAAAUCAACUCCUUUCUAACUUAUAACUUGCUUAAUCCUCUUGUUUUGUCUUGUUUUCUAUAUAUUUGUGUUUUUGGCUACUUUGAUGUACUUUCAUCAAUAAUCCCUUAUUUUGUAGCUAAAAAUGAGCUUGGAAGACUCUCCAACAAUGUCUAAGGCUGAACCAACCACUAGAAGCGAGCAGAUCUGCAGAAAAAGUGAAAAUGAUGCAGUGCUGAAAAGUCAGGCCCAAGCCCCCCUGGCUGAGGGGCGCCCAAGCGCGACUGCACCAGGGCCAGUUUCUGCACAGAAAAGUGACCAGGUGCCAGUUUUGUGUGCUGGUCGCGCCCGGGCGUGAAAAAGGGGCGCCCGGGCGCGACUUUUUGCGAGAAGCUUGCGCCCGGGCGUGAGAAAUGGGGCGCCCAGGCGCGACUUUUUCCGAGAGGCUCGCGCCCGGGCGCGACUUUUACUGAUGUGGCAGACAGCUUAUUUAACCCUAAAACGCGAAGGGGAAACGGUCUUUGGUCAUUUGGAGGCGCGAUUUCACUCAGAGGAGAGCUUGGAGGGCUGCUAGGGUUCGUGGGAACACUCCCUUCUUCCUCUUGGGUUCUCCUUCUUCUUCCAUCUUCCAUGUUGUAAGCUUUAGGGUUCUCCAUGGAAAUGGAGAACCAAACCCAUCUUGUUGGGAUUAGUUGUAGCCUUUGAAUUCUUGUGUAAUUGUUGAAUGAUUUGAUUAUAUAUAUGCCUUUUCUAUCAAUUGCUAGUAUUCUUGUUUCCAAUCUUAAAGCUUGCAUGUAAUGGGAACGUUCAUGACUUGAUUUUGGGGUUUUAUGGAUUAUGGGAACGUAAGAUGAAACCCGGAACUGAAAUAGGAGUCCUUGUGGGUCAUUGAUUCUAGGAAUGGAAGAUGAUUCACAUGUUGUCUUAGAUCCCAGCCCUUUAAUGCGGGUUUUGCUUGUUAGAUUGCCAAGGAAUUGGGGUUUGAUAAGGAAAACCUAGGCUCUUUCAUCUAAGGAAUUAGGGCUAGAGUGCUUUAGUGGAUUGACUUUAGUAAAUUGAUAGAGAGGAGACGAAAUUAGUCAUACACAAGAGUGCAUUGGUGAAAACUAACCUUAGCAAUGUCAUUUCAUACCAUUUCUAGUCUUUUCCAUUUUCAAG